rnacentral:rRNA from 1 species
GACCUCAGUUCAGGUGAGAUUACCGGCUGAAUUUAAGCAUAUUACUAAGCCGAGGAAAAGAAACUAACAAGGAUUCCCCUAGUAGCAGCGAGCGAACAGGGAAGAGCCCAGCGCUGAAUCCCCCGGGCCUCGCUCGGCGGGAAAUGUAGCGUUUGGGAGGGCCCGUCAACACGGCGACUCGCUCACUGGUUCAAGUCCAACUUGAAUGGGGCCACACAGAGGGUGACAGGCCCGUAGAGCAGGAGCGGUUGUCGUGUGGGUCUCUCCUUAGAGUCGGUUUGCUUGAGAGUGCAGACUUAAGUGGGUGGUAAACUCCAUCUAAGGCUAAAUAUGACCACGAGACCGAUAGCACACAAGUACCGUGAGGGAAAGGUGAAAAGAACUUUGAAGAGAGAGUUCAAGAGUACGUGAAACUGAAGUGGUGUAAACGGACGAGUUCGAAAAGUCCGAAUGGUGAGAUUCAAGCUUACCGUGCCGGUGGCCCUCGGGUUCAGAUGGCGUCGUCAGCUCGGGCUUCGGUUCGGGUCAUACGGCGUCACUCGUCCUGGGGGUAUCUGUCUGGUGCGGUGGGCUGCACUUCUCGCCUAGUAGGACGUCGCGACCCGUUGGGAUGUUCCGUUCACUGGCCCUCGGUGGAGCCCGCGCCGGAGCGUGGCCUUGUGCCGCGUUGCUGUUUGCACGGACCCGGGGUGACCUGAUCGGCGCCCGACGGUAUCAAAGCUUGGGAAGAGGCCGCACAGAGGAUGCGUUCGAUGGCCGUUUCGGCCUACACUCGGACAGGCCUGCACCCGGUCAGCGGCGCUUCU